UGUCGCAUGGUGUAAAGGCAGCACUGGAAUCUCUAAAAUUCUAAGUUUCCGUUCGAAUCGGAAUGCGACUACCA
rnacentral:tRNA from 1 species